AGUAACCUGCCUUGGAGUGGGGAAUAACAGCUGGAAACAGCUGCUAAUACCGCAUGAUGCAGUUGGGUCGCAUGGCUCUGACUGCCAAAGAUUUAUCGCUCUGAGAUGGACUCGCGUCUGAUUAGCUAGUUGGCGGGGCAACGGCCCACCAAGGCGACGAUCAGUAGCCGGACUGAGAGGUUGGCCGGCCACAUUGGGACUGAGACACGGCCCAGACCCCUACGGAAGGCAGCAG
rnacentral:rRNA from 1 species